rnacentral:lncRNA from 1 species
UUGGUAUGAUGCCUUAGUGUAAUGUGAAUUUUUUUUAUUAUAAAUAGAUGUGUUGUGUGAUUUAUUUUUCCACAUCUCAUUUCAUCAUAUUGCAAACAUGUUUGGUGUUCGUCGUCGCUAUGGAAAAGUGAUUUAUUCGAGAGACAAGCCAUCGAUGUUGAUGCUCUUUUGGAACAUCUGUAGUUUGGAUCAACUGAAGAGGGAGCUGGUU